GGGGAGAGAUGGCAAUGCUGAAGGAGAUGUAAAUAUUAUUUUUUUUUAGCGCCCUGCUGCUCCGUGUCGCCUCGCUUAUUGUGUUGUGCAUUCGGUGACGGUGACGGUGCCGGUGCCGGUGCCCCUCCUGCCCGUAGCAUGCGACUUGUGUUUGCAUUAUGCGGCGUUAAUGACAUCCAAAGACACAGAAACGGAGAGAGAGAGGCUCUCCCCAGUGCCUUUUGCCAUCAACAACAUAAUUCACAGCCAGCAAGGAGGGGGCUGCUAAUGAUGGCUCCACUGCCCUUUCC
rnacentral:lncRNA from 1 species